AACAAUGGAACAUUCUACGAAGUUCUGAAAGAAAAUAAAUUCCCAACCUAGAUUUCUAAACAUUAACAAUAGAGCCUUCAAUAAUGAAGAUGGUAAUCAAGAUAUUUUCAGACCAAAACUUAUAAAAAAAUUUUUUUUCUUCCUGUAGGCACGCAUUACUAGAAGUAACACUGAAGAUUUUUUUUUUUCCGGUGAUGGGAAAAUGAAAUCAAAUGGAACCCUGGAGAUGCGGGAAAGAAUAAAGAGCAACUAAAAAAGACAGAGGAAUACACGCUUUUUUCUAAAGACAGAAGAUUAUCUAUUAAAGCUGAGACCAUUGUGUUUCUACCUUGAGGCAUGAAACAACAGAAUAAUGUAAGUGGGAAACUAAAAUUGAAAACGUAAAAAAUAAUCCAGUAAUCUUUGGCAGAAAUAAU
rnacentral:lncRNA from 1 species